AACGCUGGCGGCAUGCCUUACACAUGCAAGUCGAACGGCAGCACGGGAGCAAUCCUGGUGGCGAGUGGCGAACGGGUGAGUAAUAUAUCGGAACGUGCCCAGUCGUGGGGGAUAACGUAGCGAAAGCUACGCUAAUACCGCAUACGAUCUACGGAUGAAAGCGGGGGAUCGCAAGACCUCGCGCGAUUGGAGCGGCCGAUAUCAGAUUAGGUAGUUGGUGAGGUAAAGGCUCACCAAGCCGACGAUCUGUAGCUGGUCUGAGAGGACGACCAGCCACACUGGGACUGAGACACGGCCCAGACUCCUACGGGAGGCAGCAGUGGGGAAUUUUGGACAAUGGGCGCAAGCCUGAUCCAGCAAUGCCGCGUGCAGGAUGAAGGCCUUCGGGUUGUAAACUGCUUUUGUACGGAACGAAACGGUGAGCUCUAAUACAGUUUGCUAAUGACGGUACCGUAAGAAUGAGCACCGGCUAACUACGUG
rnacentral:rRNA from 1 species